rnacentral:rRNA from 1 species
AGCAGUGGGGAAUCUUAGACAAUGGGCGCAAGCCUGAUCUAGCCAUGCCGCGUGAGUGGUGAAGGCCUUAGGGUCGUAAAGCUCUUUCGCCUGUGAAGAUAAUGACUGUAGCAGGUAAAGAAACCCCGGCUAACUCCGUGCCAGCAGCCGCGGUAAUACGGAGGGGGUUAGCGUUGUUCGGAAUUACUGGGCGUAAAGCGCGCGUAGGCGGACAUUUAAGUCAGAGGUGAAAUCCCAGGGCUCAACCCUGGAACUGCCUUUGAUACUGGGUGUCUUGAGUUCGAGAGAGGUGAGUGGAAUUCCGAGUGUAGAGGUGAAAUUCGUAGAUAUUCGGAGGAACACCAGUGGCGAAGGCGGCUCACUGGCUCGAUACUGACGCUGAGGUGCGAAAGUGUGGGGAGCAAACAGGAUUAGAUACCCUGGUAGUCCACACCGUAAACGAUGAAUGCCAGUCGUCGGGUAGUAUACUAUUCGGUGACACACCUAACGGAUUAAGCAUUCCGCCUGAGGAGUACGGUCGCAAGAUUA